AUGAGAUUAUAUUCUCAUGAAAAGGAGGGAGGGGUGCCACGGCCGAUGAGUAUGAUGGAGAGAUUCGGAGAUGCUUUAGUAAUAUGUGAGUUGGAAGAUAUGGGGUCCUCAGGAGAUCAAUUCACUUGGCGAAAGAGGAGGUUAUGUGAAUAUCUUGAUAAGGCUAUGUGUAAUGGGCAAUUUCAUGAUCUCUUUCCGCAUGCUAAGGUGGUUAAUGCAGCACACAUAAAAUCUGACCAUCGACUGGUCUUUGUGGACAUAGAGGGCGAUGUGCCAGGUGACUAG
rnacentral:rRNA from 1 species